rnacentral:rRNA from 1 species
UACGGGGGGGGUAAGCGUUGUUCGGAAUUACUGGGCGUAAAGGGCUCGUAGGCGGCCAACUAAGUCAGACGUGAAAUCCCUCAGCUUAACUGGGGAACUGCGUCUGAUACUGGAUGGCUUGGAUUCGGGAGAGGAAUGCGGAAUUCCAGGUGUAGCGGUGAAAUGCGUAGAUAUCUGGAGGAACACCGGUGGCGAAGGCGGCGUUCUGGACCGGCAUUGACGCUGAGGCGCGAAAGCUAGGGGAGCAAACGGGG